UACAGAGGCCUCAAGCGUUGUUCGGAUUUACUGGGCGUAAAGGGUGUUUAGGCUGCGCAAAUAGUCAAAUGCUAAAUCCCCGGGCUCAACCCGGGAACACUGUUUGAUACUGUUGCGCUAGAGUCUGGGAGAGGGGGUUGGAAUUCACGGAGUAGCAGUGAAAUGCGUAGAGAUCGUGAGGAAGACCAAAGGCGAAGGCAGGCCCCUGGAAAAGUACUGACGCUGAAACACGAAGGCCGAGGUAGCGAACGGG
rnacentral:rRNA from 1 species